UUAAUUACGAUAUUUUGGUAUAAGUUGAUGGGAUUUUCUUAAAGAAAUUUAGUGUUUUAAGACAAAAGGAAAAUUAUGCUCUAUAAUGUAUUUGCUUAUAUGGUUUAAGGAUUAGUAUUUUUAGUUUAGAAAAAAAAAAUGUAUUCUCCCUCAAUGUAGUUGAGGUGUCAAAAUAUAUUAACAUUUCAUGCUUUCUCUCUCCUUUUUCUCUGUCAUCGUGUCAAAAGAAAGUGAAGGCAACAAAACUCAAAACCUUGAGUUGUCAAAUUUCCAAUGUUUAAUCUGAUACUUAAGUUUAUAACUAGCAAAUCCAUCUCAAAUUCUUAUUAUUCAGCACUAGAAAAUUUAAGAAACACCAAUUCUUAGUUUUCAUUCUCGCAUCCUCUCAUUCACCGACAUUCCUCUCACUCCUCUGUUCUGUCCGUCAAAUUCAAGCAUCAUACUCUCAUUUUUUAGUCUUUGUUCCUUCAUAAAAGUUGUAGAUCUCUUCAAGAUAUUGAAUUUAGGCUCAAAAAUUUCUUCAAUCGGAGUUCGGAGCUAAGAGUUAUGCUCUCUGGAAGUUGUAGUUGUUGUUGCCGCUGUUGCAGCGUUUUUCUCUCUCCUCUUCUUCGUGGAUGCUGCUGCUACGAGUUUGGUUGGUGUUGUGGCUGUUGCAUGUUGUUGUUGUCAUCGAUUCUUUCUUGUUUUGAUUUGAAGGAGACCCAAUUCAAUUUGAGCCAAAUUCUAUCAAGGUGAAUGAUUGUGGAACUUGAGUAUAACUUGGAGAUGGAUAUUGGAUUCUCGAAUAUAAUUUUGGAGUAGAAUGCUAUUUGAAGAUGCAUAGAGAGUUCAUUGUUAGUGAUCUUGCAGGUUCGUGUGUGGAAAGCUCGGAAUGGAGUAAAAGGAAGAAUUUAGUUAUCAAGGUUAUAAUUAGAUGUGAUGGUUCAGAGGUUGUAUUUAGGAUUAUAUAUCCUUAUUUGUGAAUAAAUUAUUAUAUUGCUUUAGAAGUCGAGCAAGGUAUUGUGUAA